rnacentral:misc_RNA from 1 species
GAUGAAGAACGCAGCGAAAUGCGAUAAGUAGUGUGAAUUGCAGAAUUCAGUGAAUCAUCGAAUCUUUGAACGCACAUUGCGCCCUUUGGUAUUCCUUAGGGCAUGCCUGUUCGAGCGUCAUUUGAAACCUCAAGCUCAGCUUGGUGUUGGGUGUCUGUCCCCGCCUCACCGCGGGGACUCGCCUCAAAAUCAUUGGCGGCCGGUACGUUGGCUUCGAGCGCAGCAGAAACGCGAACUCGAGGCCCGGCGGAUCGGCGACCAGAAGUCACCUCUUCACAGUUUGACCUCGGAUCAGGUAGGGAUACCCGCUGAACUUAAGCAUAUCAAUAAGCGGAGGA